AUACCGAACAUUCAAUCAAAAAUCACUUCGCUUUCUUUUAUAAAUAAUAAUAUGAUGAUUAUUAAACUAUGUUGACUUUGUUCUAUAUAAUACGUGGAUUUCACAUUACAUUAAAUAGCUCGAAUGUUUCGACCGAAAUUUCAAUUUUGGUGAACAGCAAGUUCAUAAAACGGAUGAUGUUAAAAUGGAUUUACCAUCCAUUGAUGUAUAUGUAUCGGGACAUCAAUGCAAGCACACUGCACAAGCCUUCCUCCCGUGACGAAACAACAUAUUCAAUUAUAUUACAAUGAAUUCCAUAAAAAGCAAGUUGACGGGCUGCAAUUGUAUGAAGCAAGAUUUUUAGUAGUUGUUAGAGCAGCUACAGAAGGUGAAUAUACCUUUGUUAAAGACAUAACUCGUGCUUCAAUGAAACAGCUUCAAUAUGAA